AGCGCAGGCGGGAAGACAAGUUGGAAGUGAAAUCUAUGGGCUCAACCCAUAAACUGCUUUCAAAACUGUUUUUCUUGAGUAGUGCAGAGGUAGGCGGAAUUCCCGGUGUAGCGGUGGAAUGCGUAGAUAUCGGGAGGAACACCAGUGGCGAAGGCGGCCUACUGGGCACCAACUGACGCUGAGGCUCGAAAGUGUGGGUAACAAACA
rnacentral:rRNA from 1 species